AAAAGGUCAAUUGCUUUUAAGCUCACUGGAAUAAAAACGGUCACAGAAUGAACACAGAAUAAUUCAUCCUACACAGGCGCUGGGGUGAAUGAACUUCAACUAUGGUACAUACACAGGUAUUUCCUGCUUGUGUAUUAGUGACCUUGGGCUUGGCAUGCAUUCAUACUUAAGAUCUGAUAAUGUAUACACACAUGCUGUCGGAUUCAAUCAAAUAAAACCAACAAUCGGCCAAUGGUGUCACAAUCAAUGAAAUCAAUUACAUAGGAUCAACUUUCGCGGUUUUCCCCAAUAUGCAGUCACAGUUGAGACAGCGCAGAGAUGCUGUUCCUCAUACAACGCUAUACAGCACACGGAUGGCGGACCAAAAAGUAGGAGAAUAUUCAUUUGAGGCUCUAUGUGAUGGGCAGGACGUUUUAAGGCUCAAGGCCAGACCUAAGGAUAAGGAAUUGCCAAAUGUGCGUCGAAAUUCAGACAAACGCGAGAACAGACAGUCUGUCCAAGAGCAAGGUAAGGAUCUUUCUGUAUUAAUUGUAUAACACCUACUAUGAAUUCGUCUAAUUGCUUUCAAGGGCAUAUAUAUCACUUUGAAGACUUUCUUCCGGACUGAGAUGAUAUUGUUUUUACGACUACAUGGCGUUUCUCAAGCCGCCGCUGAAGUUUAAAUAAUAUCUCAGCCCGAAUCGGAAUUUUUGCCUGUUGGCAUUAUUUAGCGCGAG